UAAAACUGUGGAGUGUUGGCUAGGGUUGCAGUUGCUGGAGCAGUGACCUCUUCACAUUCUUGGUCCAGUUCACCAGGCAUGAAAUAACACCACUGGAUUGCAGG